rnacentral:lncRNA from 10 species
GGACAUGGAAAUUUCUAGAAAGAAGGCGCAAGCAGGACACCGGCGAUAAAAAGUUCCCUUUGUAACCAGACCAGCUGAGACCAGUUACAAAGCCUACCCCAGGUAUCCGACCAGAUGACUUCAAAAAGACCUCAGGCUUCAUUAUAAUCUAAUUUCCAUGCUAAAUGACACUUCCACCAGUGUCAUGACGGUUGCCAGUCCCCGUGACAAUGACCAGAAGGAGCCAUAAAAGGACAAAAACAAGGGAGCCCCUCAUUCCAAGAAGUGUACCGCCCAGUUCCAGAAAAGACAUGGAUAUUCCUCCUCUUGCUUUUAAUGUCCAGCCAUCAUUAAGGAAACCCUAUAUGAUAACCCCCUCACCCCUCACUAAUUGAGAAGUUGAUUUGUGAGCCAAGCUCCCGCUUCUCAAUUCCAUGGCCAUCGAAUAAAG